rnacentral:rRNA from 1 species
GCAUGCAGUCGAGCGAGAACCCGCAAGGGGGACAGCGGCAACGGGGUAGUAACGGGUAGGCGACGUACCCUUCGGUCGGGGAUAGCCACGGGAAACUGUGGGUAAUACCCGAUAAUCUCUUCAGGCGUGAUAGCUUGGAGAGCAAAGGUGUGAUUCCACCGGAGGAGCGGCCUGCUUCGUAUUAGCUGGUUGGUGAGGUAACGGCUCACCAAGGCGACGGUGCGUAGGGGGUGUGAGAGCAUGACCCCCACCACUGGGACUGAGAUACUGCCCAGACACCUACGGGUGGCUGCAGUCGAGAAUCUUCGGCAAUGGGCGCAAGCCUGACCGAGCGACGCCGCGUGUGGGAUGAAGGCCCUUGGGUUGUAAACCACUGUCAGAGGGGAUGAAGUGCAGGAGGGCAAUCUCUCCUGUUUGACAUAGCCUCAGAGGAAGCACGGGCUAAGUUCGUGCCAGCAGCCGCGGUAAUACGAACUGUGCAAACGUUAUUCGGAAUCACUGGGCUUACAGGGUGCGUAGGCGGCUUGCUAAGUAGGGUGUGAAAGCCCCCGGCUCAACCGGGGAAUUGCGCCCUAAACUGGCGAGCUGGAGUGAGAUAGGGGUGUGUGGAACUUCCGGUGGAGCGGUGAAAUGUGUUGAUAUCGGAAGGAACGCCGGUGGCGAAAGCGACACACUGGAUCUUGUCUGACGCUGAGG